UGGGGAAUAUUGGACAAUGGGCGAAAGCCUGAUCCAGCCAUGCCGCGUGUGUGAAGAAGGUCUUCGGAUUGUAAAGCACUUUAAGUUGGGAGGAAGGGCAUUAACCUAAUACGUUAGUGUUUUGACGUUACCGACAGAAUAAGCACCGGUUAACUCUGUGCCAGCAGCCGCGGUAAUACAGAGGGUGCAAGCGUUAAUCGGAAUUACUGGGCGUAAAGCGCGCGUAGGUGGUUUGUUAAGUUGGAUGUGAAAUCCCGGGGCUCAACCUGGGAACUGCAUUCAAAACUGACUGACUAGAGUAUGGUAGAGGGUGGUGGAAUUUCCUGUGUAGCGGUGAAAUGCGUAGAUAUAGGAAGGAACACCAGUGACGAAGGCGACCACCUGGACUAAUACUGACACUGAGGUGCGAAAGCGUGGGGAGCAAACA
rnacentral:rRNA from 1 species